GGGUCGAUGCCCGAGUGGUUAAUGGGGGCGGACUGUAAAUCCGCUGGCUUUGCCUACACUGGUUCAAAUCCAGUUCGGCCCA
rnacentral:tRNA from 1 species